rnacentral:rRNA from 1 species
GACGAACGCUUGCGGCGUGCCUAAGAAAUGCAAGUCGAGCGAGGUUUAGGCUUCGGCCGACGACCUAGCGGCGAACGGUCGCGUAACACGUAAGCAACCUGCCCUAAAGUUGGGGAUAGCCCGCCGAAAGGCGGAUUAAUACCGAAUGUGGAUAUGAUUUCGCAUGUGAUUAUAUCUGAAGCAGCGAUGCGCUUUAGGAUGGGCUUGCGGCCUAUCAGUUAGUUGGUGUGGGUAACGGCCUACCAAGACGACGACGGGUAGCUGGUCUGAGAGGAUGGUCAGCCGGAUUGGGACUGAGACACGGCCCAGACUCCUACGGGGGGCAGCAAUUAGGAAUCUUGCGCAAUGGGCGAAAGCCUGACGCAGCGACGCCGCGUGACUGAUGAAGUCUUUCGAGAUGUAAAGGCCUUUUGUUGGGGACGAAGGAAGUGACGGUACCCGACGAAUAAGCCCCGGCUAACUACGUG